rnacentral:rRNA from 1 species
UACGUAGGGGGCAAGCGUUGUCCGGAAUCAUUGGGCGUAAAGCGCGUGUAGGCGGUUCAGUAAGUCUGCUGUGAAAGUCCAGGGCUCAACCCUGGGAUGCCGGUGGAUACUGCUGGGCUAGAGUACGGAAGAGGCGAGUGGAAUUCCGGGUGUAGCGGUGAAAUGCGUAGAUAUCCGGAGGAACACCGGUGGCGAAGGCGGCUUCCUGGACCGACACUGACGCUGAGGCGCGAAAGCUAGGGGAGCAAACGGG